rnacentral:rRNA from 1 species
CAGUCGCCGCGGUAAUACGAAGGGUGCAAGCGUUACUCGGAAUUACUGGGCGUAAAGCGUGUGUAGGUGGUUGUUUAAGUCUGUCGUGAAAGCCCUGGGCUCAACCUGGGAAUUGCGAUGGAUACUGGGCGACUAGAGUGCGGUAGAGGAUAGUGGAAUUUCCGGUGUAGCAGUGAAAUGCGUAGAGAUCGGAAGGAACAUCUGUGGCGAAGGCGACUAUCUGGGCCAACACUGACACUGAGACGCGAAAGCGUGGGGAGCAAACAGGAUUAGAUACCCCUGUAGUCCCUGUCUCUUAUAC